rnacentral:rRNA from 1 species
AUUCCGGUUGAUCCUGCCGGAGGCCAUUGCUAUUGGAGUCCGAUUUAGCCAUGCUAGUCGUACGAGUUCAGACUCGUGGCGCAUAGCUCAGUAACACGUGGCCAACCUACCCUUCAGCGGCGGACACCCUCGGGAAACUGAGGCUAAUCCGCCAUACCCCUCUCACGCUGGAACCGCCGAGAGGCCAAAACGCCUUACGGCGCUGGAGGAUGAGGCUGCGGCCGAUUAGGUAGACGGUGGGGUAACGGCCCACCGUGCCCAUAAUCGGUACGGGUCGUGAGAGCGAGAGCCCGGAGACGGAAUCUGAGACAAGAUUCCGGGCCCUACGGGGCGCAGCAGGCGCGAAACCUUUACACUGCACGCCAGUGCGAUAAGGGGACUCCAAGUGCGAGGGCAUAUCGUCCUCGCUAUCCUGUACUGUAGGGCAGUACAGUACCAAGAGCUGGGCAAGACCGGUGCCAGCCGCCGCGGUAAUACCGGCAGCUCGAGUGAUGGCCGAUCUUAUUGGGCCUAAAGCGUCCGUAGCUGGCCUCGCAAGUCCGUCGGGAA